AGCUCCCCGAGUGGUUGGGACGAUUAUUGGGUCUGAAGCGUCCGUAGCCGGCCGGAAAAGUCCCCCGUUAAAUCUGGCGAUCCAAUCGUUGGGCUGCGGGGAAUACUCUUCGGCUUGGGGGCGAGGGAGGUCGGCGGUAGUCCCGGGGUAGGGGCGAAAUCCUAUAAUCCCGGGAGGACCACCAGUGGCGAAGGCGGUCGACUAAAGCGCGCCCGACGGUGAGGGACGAAAGCUGGGGGAGCGAACGG
rnacentral:rRNA from 1 species